rnacentral:misc_RNA from 1 species
ACGGAAUGUGCAGCAAAACUCCAAAGCCCAGACCCGGCGAGCGAAAAGUUGCAUACGAACGUUCCGGAAACAAAUGAGAUGGGAUGUCUUGCGCAAAUCGAGCUGCAGCCUGCAGGAGAAGCUUAAGAUCCGAGAAAAACCAGGGGAGUCAAAAAAAAAAAAAAAACAGGAGGAGGAAGGAGGGGUGAAGCUUACACAGGGUCGGCGGCGCCGAUGGCCUUCCAGAAGACGGCGUAGGACCAGCCGACCUCCUCGCAGAGCCGGCGCAGCGCGUCCCCAACCGCCAUCCCGGCGACGCAGGGAGAGUGAGAACAGAGAGAACCCUAGCUCCUCCGCGGCCCGCCGCCUGCAGUCCCGCCCCCCUUCUCUCUGGCCUGGUACUGGAACAGGACGUGCGACGGUGCGAGCAAACAAGCAAAGACGGGCGGCGCCCUCCCUAGGCGGCGCGGCGGCAGGCUCGCCCGGCCUGCUUCGUGCGGAGCCCGCCGGCCCUCCUCGUCCUCACGCUUUCCCUCGCCGCCGGCGCCUGCCGGCGCCCAUCAAUGGGGCGGGCCCACUCCCAGCAGGCGCGGGUCCCAGCGUCAGCGUCCGCGGGGGGGCGCGCCUCACUUCACGCGGCGGCGGCGGCGGCGAGCGAGCCUGCUGCACCAGUGCUGGGGCUCCGGGUCGGGGGAUGAAGCUGGGAGCUGCUGCUGCGGACCGCGGCUCGUCAAUGUCCUGAUAAUAAACACGGCAACGGCAAGAUUAGUCUCAUAAAACCUCCAUGCAUGUGAACUUUCCUGCAUUCCACAAUCUUGGCUAUAUAUCCAUUCAGAGUUUCAGACUGAAGCCUGAACUGAACACAGGGGUCUGGAAAACACAAGAAAAAGAUCCAUCAGGAGGGCAGUGUCUGUGCUGGAACUCACAGCCACAACAGUGUUACUCGAGCUCCGGUCCAAGAUUGUUGCUUCUCCAUUCCAGUCAGAAAGCCAAGAGCCUCAGGACAAAGAUUAGCCAGCUUUUAAAACUGUGGCCGAAUUUGCUAGUUUAUUAGCCAGCUUUCAAACUGCGGGACAAAAACUAACCAGCUUUUGCAACAGUUUGGAAACCUCAAGACCAAAAACUUUUCAGGUUUUAACCUAUCCGUCCUUUUCUCAGCAACGGGACUUGGAACGAAACGUAUCCAUCGUCCUUGGAUGUGUGGUGGCAUCUAGUUUCAUCGGGGGUUUUUUAUUCAGAGGUGGCCUAAACCAAGCAUUAAUCCGAAGAUUUGUGCUGACUCAUUAGUGGAGGCUUGCAGACUAAUCCUACUUCUCUACUUGAUGUGGAUAUAUGGAUGUAUCAUGUAUGUGUCGCUUCUGGAAGUGCUCCACUAGAGCGCAAACAAGGACGGUUUUAUUUGAGUUCAGUCACAUCGUGGAACAAGACAAAGCUGCUUUGGCUUGGAAUGGCUUAGUUUCAUACGUAUCAGCUCAUCAUUUAGGGUUUAUUUGUUUUGCUCUCAAUCCACGUAGAUUAGAUGAGAUUGGGUGGCUUUGAUUUCCAAACAAAUCAAAAAAAGUUAUACUUUUUUUUCAAUCCCAUAUAAUCCACAUUGGAUAAGAAUAAUCAAGCCUCUGUUGGAAUCCAAGGCAGUAGAGCCCAAAUUAGACGGCCACUUCAUUCUUUGGUGGUGCCAUGAAGCUGGGUACCGGAAGUUGGAUAACCAGCAACUCAUUCAGGUGAGAACGGAUGAGAUGAGAUCAUCAGUCAGACAGAUACAUAAUGAAAAAGAGUGAGAUCAUGCAAUCAAGAAAAAGAGUGGCAUCAGCUCAGGAAAAAAAAGGUAGAAAAUAUGGGAAGGGUGGUGCAUAUAUUUGGCUGAUUUUAACAACAUCACAGAAGAACUGCAAAUUGGUGACCAAGAAAAAAAAUUAUACAGAACAGUUCUCCUUUUUGGCAGCUAAAUUCAGUACAAAUGCUCCCUCCCAGUCAGAAAAGGAAUUGUGCCUAAAAUAUCAGAGCCGCCAAUACGAAGUUUGCUUGGAAGGGCAGAACUGUUGCCGGAUGAGUGAGAUGGAGAAAAAGGCACCAACCCACACUACAGGACACGAUCAGUAUGAGAAUCUUGACCUUGGCGUCUUGCAAAUAAUACCAGCUGUAAUAAGAGCCCUGGGCUAGAGGGAAACAGUUCCUCUGAUUUGAAGCCUGCCUUGUUUUGGUUUGCCCCCACACAGCACCACUGAAAACCUGAUGCAUUGGCCUCAAGAAAGGGGAACACAUGGAUCAGCAGUGGUAUCAGAGAAAUUGGAUCAGCAGUGGUAUCAGAGAAAGAGG